rnacentral:rRNA from 1 species
AGAUUGCCUUAGUAGCGGCGAGUGAAGCGGCAAAAGCUCAAAUUUGAAAUCUGGCGCCUUCGGUGUCCGAGUUGUAAUUUGAAGAUUGUAACCUUGGGGUUGGCUCUUGUCUAUGUUUCUUGGAACAGGACGUCACAGAGGGUGAGAAUCCCGUGCGAUGAGAUGCCCAAUUCUAUGUAAGGUGCUUUCGAAGAGUCGAGUUGUUUGGGAAUGCAGCUCUAAGUGGGUGGUAAAUUCCAUCUAAAGCUAAAUAUUGGCGAGAGACCGAUAGCGAACAAGUACAGUGAUGGAAAGAUGAAAAGAACUUUGAAAAGAGAGUGAAAAAGUACGUGAAAUUGUUGAAAGGGAAGGGUUUGAGAUCAGACUCGAUAUUUUGUGAGCCUUGCCUUCGUGGCGGGGUGACCCGCAGCUUAUCGGGCCAGCAUCGGUUUGGGCGGUAGGAUAAUGGCGUAGGAAUGUGACUUUACUUCGGUGAAGUGUUAUAGCCUGCGUUGAUGCUGCCUGCCUAGACCGAGGACUGCGAUUUUAUCAAGGAUGCUGGCAUAAUAUCCCAAAC